CCGCGGUGUGCACCAAGCAGAGCUCAGGGGGUGGUGCGCCUGGCCCCUCUGCCCCGCGCAGCCCAGCCCAGCCCAGGACCUCUUUCCUUGAAGAAUUCCAGCCUCAUCUGACCUCCAAAUGGACCCCAACUGCUCCUGCGCCGCUGGUGGCUCCUGCACCUGUGCCAGCUCCUGCAAAUGCAAAGAGUGCGCAUGCACCUCCUGCAAGAAGAGCGAGUACAGGACCAUCUCCAGGAAUCUGGGGGCUGGGCAGAGUCAAAGGAGGGAUCUCCACAGGCGGGAGCAGACCAAUGAUGAGCCUCCCACAUCUCCUUGCUUCAGCAAAUGACUUAGGAUCACAACUGGAAGAACACUAGAGAUGGCUGCUGCUCCUGUUGCCCUGUGGGCUGUGCCAAGUGUGCCCAGGGCUGUGUAUGCAAACGGGUAUCAGAGAGGUGCAGCUACUGUGCCUG